GAGCACAGAUCGGACGGCAGUCAAGAAGUUGCCGUGCAACCAUCAAAGUCUCGCCGGUAUAGACGCGGAGGGGAGGGAGGGAGAGGGCGAGCGAGAGAGAGAGAUAGAGAUGAGCGAAGAGCAGUGGAAAGGCGGAGGUGGAGAAGCUGGUGAUCCACACCACCACCAUCAUCAGCACCCGUACGAACCAUAUCAGCUUGGCCCUCAGUAUGGGACUUUCUCGGGUGUUCCGAUCCCCCAGCAUCCGGCGAUGGGUUUCCCCCAGCCAGUUCCACCGGCCGGCGUCACUGUCCAUUCCCCUUUUCCCGGUCCUACUUAUUACCCUCAUGGGUACCAAGCUUUUCAUGGCUACGUGCCUGUUGCUGAAGGAAGGCCUUUGAGAGAGCCACGUCUUCCCUGCUGUGGAAUUGGUAUUGCAUGGCUUUUAUUCAUUACUGGGUUCUUUCUUGCUGCCAUUCCCUGGUAUGUUGGAGCAUUCAUUCUACUGUGUGUUAGACGAGUUGAUUAUAGAGAAAAGCCUGGAUAUGUUGCUUGCACAAUUGCAGCUUUUCUCGCUGCUAUUGCUAUAAUUAUUGGAGCAACAAAGGGAGCUGAGGUAUGGUGAUUAUUCACUCUCCUCAGGGCAUUGUUGAUCUAUUCUAGUCCUGCGGUUUUAUGCAUGUAUAUCUCUUGGAACCUAACUUGUAUUGUAAAGUAACGAAGUCAAAGGCCAUUUAAUCAGCAGCCUAUAGACUGAGCAGGAGCGUACUACAUGCCAGUCCAUGAGAACAGCCAAGACUGAGGAAUGAGCAUUUUUCCGUUUUGGUUCACGAAGACUUGUGGUAUUUCUUGCCUCUGGCACCUAAAAUUUAAAUAUUACACGCAUAUCACCCAAUUCCUCCUCACGUUUCGCAUACAUCUUCGUUUUCACGGAUAGGCAGCGUUUAAAACAUAAUUUUCAGUCCUCCUUGACUUGUCUCCAGUGCCUUUCGUCUCCCAUUGGAAACUCCUCAUGCAGAACUCUGUACCGAUUGCUUUCAUCCCGUUGGCUUCUCGCUCCUUCCCUGCCUUUUGUUUUGUAAAGUCGACGAUAGAUAGUGAGGCCAUAAAGAGUUCCUCAUCACUGCCCAGGGUGAGGAGCUGGAUUUGGAAACACGGGUGGGAGGAACCUUUUUUUUUUUGAGGGGCAAAAACUGUAAAAGAGUAGUAAAAUUUUAGGAGGGAUAAAAUUGAUAUUUUAAGAGGGACAAAAUUGUUAUUUUAGCAUGGGCAAAAGGUAAAUUGUCAUUCGAUAAAGUCAAAUUUUGAAUUUGUGAGGAUUACCUUCUGUAGAACCUACCUUGGUCCACCCCUAGGCUGAAAGAGCGGCCAACCAGUCGCUACCUUCCUGUUACCAAAGUUUGGCAGCCGUGCGUCGGCACCUCUUUCCGGUUGGAAGCAUGGAAUGGUAAAUAUGAGAAAUGUAAGAGAACUCGGUGGUAUGAAUGUAGUAUUUUACCUUAGCUGUUUCAUAUGAAACAGUAUGUCUAUGCAUGA